rnacentral:rRNA from 1 species
GAUGAACGCUAGCGGGAGGCCUAACACAUGCAAGCCGAGCGGUAUUUGUUCUUCGGAACAGAGAGAGCGGCGCACGGGUGCGGAACACGUGUGCAACCUGCCUUUAUCUGGGGGAUAGCCUUUCGAAAGGAAGAUUAAUACCCCAUAAUAUAUUGAGUGGCAUCAUUUGAUAUUGAAAACUCCGGUGGAUAGAGAUGGGCACGCUCAAGAUUAGAUAGUUGGUGAGGUAACGGCUCACCAAGUCAAUGAUCUUUAGGGGGCCUGAGAGGGUGAUCCCCCACACUGGUACUGAGACACGGACCAGACUCCUACGGGAGGCAGCAGUGAGGAAUAUUGGACAAUGGGUUAGCGCCUGAUCCAGCCAUCCCGCGUGAAGGACGACGGCCCUAUGGGUUGUAAACUUCUUUUGUAUAGGGAUAAACCUACUCUCGUGAGAGUAGCUGAAGGUACUAUACGAAUAAGCACCGGCUAACUCCGUG